GCAGCUUUGGCACAUGGAUGAGAGAUGAAAUUCCGACCGAGGCUAGCAGAGUCAACCGCGUGGCCGGGCCGGCCGGCGGCCAGCACAGGGCUCAACGCCGACCAACUCUGCUGCCCUGUCCGUGUCCAGCAUCUACUCACUCUGUAUCUGUGCUCUCAUCACAGAGGGGUAGCCGUGAGUCACAUGAAGUUUCUUCUCUAGUAAUAGAAGGUAUCUUCUUCUCUCUCUUUUUUUGUAGUAUGAAGUUUCUUCUCUAGUAAUAGAAAGCAUUUUUUUUUAUCUUUUCAUCUCACGCAAGGGGCUGUGGCAUGAAAGUGACUGUUUGAGAAUAAGCACUAGCCGAUUCACUCUGAUCAUGGGGUUAAUUAAUAUGAUUAUCGAUAAAUACCGUCUAAAAUCUCCCAAUAGCUGAUGUACGUACUACUACGUCUCUGUCGGAUUUGGCUUCAUCUCGACGUGUCGUCGGGUCUAAGUAGCAUUACAUGCCCCCCUGCUUUAUAAUUAUUAAUGGCUAGCUAUGGCGCACUAAUCACUCAGCUGGUUAAUUGCGCUGAAUGCACCAAGCACCCAACAAAAGACAGUUGAUCCUGACCUGACCAGAAGAGAAUAUGGUUGGUGAAGAAAAGACGGGUUUGGGAGUAGAAAAAUAGAGAAGGAAAUCCUUGUCCCUGACUCUGAAUUCUUCUCCUAGAGAAAGAGAAUAUCUAUGAUGGAACUGAAAACCGUCUAGAGACACACAGACACAGUACGAGUCAAUCACAGAUUUGUAUGAGGAAAUUUCAUGCAACUGCUAAUAAUUAAGCUCAGAUUAACAACAAGACGUACACAUAUAUGGCUGCGAUUUCCCAAUAAUUAAGCUCCAGUCACAGCCAGAAGGCAGAAGCACCAUACAUAUGUGUGCAGAGAGGGUGGGUUCAGAGAAGAUCCCACGACUCUAAGGUCGGGAAACCACAUCUGCUGCUGCUGCCGCUGCCGCUAGUGAUGUCCGGCGGGAGCGAUCCGUCGCGACGCGUCGGCGCUGGCAUCGCGCCCGUCGUCCGCGCGCUGUACCCGCCGAGCAGGAACGCCGACGUGUCCAGCGUCGGCAACAGCAGCGCCCCACCGGCUGUCGAAGGCGCUGCGCGGGCGGGGAGCGCGGGGAGGAGGGCCCCCUCCGUCUGCUGCUGGGUCGGCGGGAGGAGGAGCUCGUCGGCGCCCGUGACCUGGUGCACCAUGCGGCGGAACUCCGCGGGGUCGGCGCUGAUGUAGGUCGUGGGCAGACGCCGCGACGGGCGCGGCCGCCUCCUGGCGACGCGGCGUGCGGGUCUGUGUUGCUUGUGCGCCGCCGGCGCGCGCGCCGCGGCGGGGACGGACGCGAGAUCCUCGUAGUCGUAGGGCAACAGGUGGCCGCGUUGAGCCGUGAGGAGCUGCUGCCACGGUGACGCCGAAGGCGAGGAUGCGUAGGCGGAGGAGUCCAUGUGCUGCAUGGCGGUGAGCAUCAUGCGUGUGUGGGAGCUAGCUAGGCUGCGCUUGCUUGCUGUUGCUGCGGGCGUGGCUUGAACUGAGAGGAAGAGGGGUCGCAGGAUUGAUAUAGGAAGAGAGAAGGAUGAUGUGGGUGUGGAGUGUGGACGGGCCGACGGGCUCGGUGGUCAGCGAGCGCGCUGACCUGUGGGUCCAGACUGUCAGGUACACCAUCCGGGGUCUAAGGGCGCGCCGGCGGAAAGGGUACGCCGGCCGCCCGAUCCACCAGCCGUACGCGGGUCACACCGUUAAAGUUAUCCAUACAGUAAUAUUCCUCAAUGCAGCAAAUUUCGGUUACGAUGUAGUAAAUUUUCGCCAUGAUUGUAACAAAAAUAUGAUUGCAUCAGAAAAAUAUCAACGUGAUCAUAGAAAAAAAAACGACGCUGAUGAUGCGUGGUAACAAAACAAAAUGUUGGUUGUACCAAAAAUAAUCCGGUGAAUUCGGGUUGCAACUCUCACGAACGUGUAUGCAACUUUUUUAGUGAACGAUUGCAGCAAAAAAUGAUACCGGUUGUAGCAAAAAUUAACACGGUUGUAGCAAAAAUCAAAAACACCGGUUGUAGCGAAAAAUCUGAUGAACUGAAGUUGCAACCAAACGUAUAUGCAACUUUUUUAGUGGAUAAAUGUAGCAAAUAAAAAACGCUUGUAGUAAAUUUGAACGCUAGUUACAACAAAUUUAGACGAAAAAGUUGCAUGCGUAAUAAGCUGCACGCGUGGGUCGCGCGCGACCGGCCGACCGGCUCGGCCGGCGCGCUGGCCACAAGCGUUUCCCCUAUGAGAAGGGAUGCCAUGUGACAAAAUCAUUCUUCUCACAUUCUCGGUAAAUAUGGGCAUAAAAUGAACGCGCUACGAAACAAUUUCACGAUCUAACCCUUUUUAGAAAUGCCGUAAUCCGUGGCGUUGCAGAUGAACUGUGAAACGCGAGUGUAAUGUGGUGUUUCCUACCAGCACUGCAAUGCCAGUGUACUGUGGCGUUUCUUGUGAGCACAGCAACGCCAAGCUCCCUGGCGUUUCUAGGGGCGAUAUUUGCCCUGGGCCGCCCCAUCGCCCACCAACCACCCUUUCUUCCCUCGUGUUUCUCUGUUCCCUGCGAGGCUUGCCAAAAACUACUAUCUCCUCCUCCAGACCCCCCCUUCGAUCUCCCUCCUCCCUCAACCGUUUUGUCGGUUUUUGGGGCAAUUCGAAGAGGCCGAUAAGCUCCUCCAAUCCCUCCAAUUAGUUUUUGCAAUAACUUUGUAUUUGUGGAGCUUUUUUGCACUAGGUGUAACCUAGGUUUUGAAGUAAAAUCAAAUUUGUGAUGGUUAAUGCCUAUGUUUCAAGUAAAACUAAAUUUGUGAUGGUGAAUGCCUAGGUUUUUGGCACUAGGUGUAGUUUUUGGUGGCACUAGGUUUACAUAGGUUUUGUUCAUAUUAUUGGCAUUAGGUGUAUGCCUAGAUUUUGUUCAUAUUAUUGGCAUUAGGUGUAUGCCUAGGUUUUGUUCAUAUUAUUGGCACUAGGUGAAUGCCUAGGUUUUUGGCACUAGGUGUAGUGUGAUUGUUUUUGACACUAGGUGAAUGCCUAAAAUAAUUUGUUCAUAUUAUUUAGGAUGUUUCAGCCGAAUAAAUAUCCGGGUCUUGAUGAUUUCUACGAGCAGAAGCAUCGUGCGGUGCUAGUGGAAAGAGGAGAAUAAUUAUCCUGGUCUUGAUGAUUAUUUUUCUAUAUUCUAUGAUUUUUCAUAUUGUGACAAGUUAAGAGAAGUAACAAAUUAUGUGUUUGUUUGUUUAGGUUCCUCCACUACUUCGAUUGAGGGGCACAACCCGAAUGAAUCUCUCUUAUAUGACCCUCGGUAUGAGGCUUAUUUUAGAAGAAUAGACCUUCUUCAGUUUGUGCUCAACUUUAAAGGCACACCACCAUGGUAGAACGCCACGGCCCUUACCGCCCUUACGGACCAUUGGAGGUCGGAGACGCACUCAUUUCACCUUUCUGUUGGUGAGAUGACUGUAACUUUGGAGGAUAUUGCUAUGAUCACCGGGCUUCCAAUCGAAGGCAUGACUCUUACAGGGAAGGUUAGGUCUGAUGGGUGGCGACAACGGGUUGCAGCAUUGGUUGGUGUUGAAGCUGAGCCGUGGACUCAUGAAACCAGGAAGGAUCCUAGGCCAUCCGGCGUGUUGUUCUCGUGGAUACAGAAACAUUUUCGCAAGUGCCCAAAGGAUGCUAGUCCGGAUGUUGUAGAGAGGUACAUGGCUUACCUAUGGAAACUUUUGACCCUAGUGGUGUUUCCGUAUGGCACGGGGGACACAACCUUGUGGAUGUUCUUGGAUCCUCUUCGUGACUGGGAUGUUAAGUGGAGUUGGGGUUCGGCGGCACUAUCCCUCUUGUACCAUCAGGUACUGCUUAAUAUGAUGCAUUUUGAUUUUAUUAAAUAGGUAUUUGCAUGUGGUCGGUUAACGUGUGUGCAAAUCUGCAGUUGGAUGGAGCAUGUAUGAGGAGUAAGCCGACGUCCACUCUUGGAGGUUUCGUUUGGGCCCUACAGGUUUGGAUGUGGGAGCGUAUCCCUGUUGGUCGUAACCUCGGCCUUCCUCCGGAAGAACCUUGGAAGUACCCUUUUGACGGGGAUGAGGAGCGGUACCCCACUAUCGCACACACAUGGGAUAAUGUCCAAUGGUCGAGUAUCGCAGCUAUGGGGCGGUACAAGACAUACAUAAGCAAGCUUGACAUGUUGACUUAUGAACAGGUAAUUAGCCAAAUGCUUUAGCAUAUUUUCUGGAAAAAAUGCGUGCAUGGGCGAGUGACUUGUUGUGAUGUAGGUCAAUUGGAGGCCGUACAUGGUACUUAGGCAGUUCCUUCUGAGCAAUAUGUGCCUUUUUGACCAACAUCUUUGGCGUGUGUGGUGCCCCAUGAUAUGCUUUUUUGCGGUCGAGUGGCAUCUUCCUCAUCGUGUUUCAAAGCAGUUCGGAGUCCAACAAUGCAGCCCGCCGGAUCACGUCGAGACAAGUGUGGUGCUACAUAAGUGAGUUUUUUGUAUCACCCGUUGAUCAAUGUCCAACACGAGAAAAUUGACUGAUGUAUUAUUCUAAUGCUUUGUAGGACAAACCGACAAAACAAUAAGAGUGUCAUCAAUUGGGAGGAGCACCACAUUAUGUGGGUGGACAUGUGGAAUGCUCAGAGGAAUGCUCGAGUUGAAACUGAUCAAACACCUGACACUGACGAGGCGGCAUAUUUAAGGCAUUUGGAGUGGAUUCGUAAAGAGUAUAGAGUUAUCCACAAGGGUGCUUGGACUUGUUCAGAUUGCUUGGACUUAGUGCCAAGUGAGGCUGCUGAUGGUGCAUUCAACAAUUCUAAUAGGAAGACAGUUGGAGCGCAUCUUGACUAUGGCCCUCUCCAUGACCGAGUGGUAUGUCCCUCCUUUGAAAUAUGAACAUGUGUCAUUUAUUCGUGGGUGGUCUGUCACAUAUGUUUUAUCCAGGGCACGAAGCUAUGGAGAUGUAUUAACGAUAGUAACGUGGUGCUUGGCCGUGCCCCAGGUCCAAAAACGGAUGGGCUUGUUAGAAGUACUCUGCAGGUUAGAUGCCUUGUUAACUGUUGUUUUCGUAGCUCUUUUAGCAUAUUAACAUGUCAAUGUCUUUUCCUUGUGCAGAAGGUCGCCAAUCGAUGCCGCACAC
rnacentral:lncRNA from 1 species